rnacentral:rRNA from 1 species
GAUGAACGCUGGCGGCGUGCUUAACACAUGCAAGUCGAGCGAUGAAGUUUCCUUCGGGAAAUGGGUUAGCGGCGGACGGGUGAGUAACACGUGGGUAACCUGCCUCAUAGAGUGGAAUAGCCUUCCGAAAGGAAGAUUAAUACCGCAUAAUGUUGAAAGAUGGCAUCAUCAUUCAACCAAAGGAGCAAUCCGCUAUGAGAUGGACCCGCGGCGCAUUAGCUAGUUGGUGGGGUAACGGCCUACCAAGGCGACGAUGCGUAGCCCGACCUGAGAGGGUGACCGGCCACAUUGGGACUGAGACACGGCCCAA